AGCGAACGCUGGCGGCAGGCCUAACACAUGCAAGUCGAACGAACUCUUCGGAGUUAGUGGCGGACGGGUGAGUAACACGUGGGAACGUGCCUUUUGGUUCGGAAUAACUCAGGGAAACUUGUGCUAAUACCGAAUGUGCCCUUCGGGGGAAAGAUUUAUCGCCAUUAGAGCGGCCCGCGUCUGAUUAGCUAGUUGGUGAGGUAACGGCUCACCAAGGCGACGAUCAGUAGCUGGUCUGAGAGGAUGACCAGCCACACUGGGACUGAGACACGGCCCAGACUCCUACGGGAGGCAGCAGUGGGGAAUCUUGCGCAAUGGGCGAAAGCCUGACGCAGCCAUGCCGCGUGAAUGAUGAAGGUCUUAGGAUUGUAAAAUUCUUUCACCGGGGACGAUAAUGACGGUACCCGGAGGAGAAGCCCCGGCUAACUUCGUG
rnacentral:rRNA from 1 species